UCUGGUUCGAGUCCAGGAUGGCCCACCUGAAAACAGUGAACAGUAAACAGUGACCAGUGUUCAGUAAAAAACUGAUAACUGAAAACUGGUAACUGGUAACUGAAUGAUGGGGGUUUAGCUCAGUUGGUAGAGCGCCUGCUUUGCAAGCAGGAUGUCAGCGGUUCGAGUCCGCUAACCUCCACCUAAAAAGAAAAAAGCAAAAGGGAAAAACAGCACCUAUCGAGAGAGAUAGAAUGCUGGAUGUAUCCAGCCAGAACCUUGAAAACUGCAA
rnacentral:tRNA from 1 species